rnacentral:rRNA from 1 species
UUAGCAUAUUCCCACAAGCGGAGGAAAAGAAACCAACAGGGAUUGCCCUAGUAACGGCGAGUGAAGCGGCAACAGCUCAAAUUUGAAAGCUGGCUCCGGCCCGCAUUGUAAUUUGCAGAGGAUGCUUUUGGCGAGGUGCCUUCCGAGUUCCCUGGAACGGGACGCCAUAGAGGGUGAGAGCCCCGUAUGGAUGGACACCAAACCUGUGUAAAGCUCCUUCAACGAGUCGAGUAGUUUGGGAAUGCUGCUCUAAAUGGGAGGUAAAUCUCUUCUAAAGCUAAAUACCGGCCAGAGACCGAUAGCGCACAAGUAGAGUGAUCGAAAGAUGAAAAGCACCUUGAAAAGGGGGUUAAACAGUACGUGAAAUUGUUGAAAGGGAAGCAUUUAUGACCAGACUUGCGCCGGGCAGCUCAUCAGGGGUUCUCCCCUGUGCACUCUGCCCGGCUCAGGCCAGCAUCGGUUCUCGUGGGAGGAUAAGAACAGUGGGAACGUGGCCCCCUCUCGGGGGGGUGUUAUAGCCCAUUGUACGAUACUCUCGUGGGGACCGAGGUUCGCGCUCCGCAAGGAUGCUGGCGUAAUGGUCAUCAAUGACCCGUCUUGAACCACCGGACCAGAAA